AAACAACUGUUUCCAUUGAUAUGGAGUAUGAGAUCAGAGUUACUUUGGAGGGUGGAGGGGGACAGCUCCAUGGCUUCACCUCAAAAUCUGCUGAUGUCAGAGGUGGGGCUGCCUUAUUCUUCCCAAGGUGCUCCUAUCACCAUCAAGGGAGGGUUCUAUGAUUGUAUCUUCAAACGAUUUGCCAAGAGCUAAAUGCAGCUCAGAAAUGCCCAUUCUAUGGUGAAUAGGACAGCAUUCUGCAACCAGGAGUCAUUUGGAAUCAACAUUUACUCAGUGAUUAUCUGUUCAGACACAAAGAAUUUUCCACAGCUAUUAUGUAUCACAUAGCAAAUAUGUGAAGCCUCCGAGUAAAUCUGUAUUGUACUUUGCUUUUAAGAACUGGUGAACUAGGGCAGUAAGUCUUGUUCUUCAUCAGAGACUGCAAAGAAAUAUGAAAAGUCUUUCCAAAGAAAGAUGAACUUGAAGUCAAGAUAUGUGCAUUUUCAAAUCCCAGUUCCAAUACCUACUAUCUUCAUGAUCCAGGAGGACUUAACUUUAGCUUCAGUUUCCUUAUAGAACUGAAUUUGAUAAACCUUUAUUUGUCAUCUACGAUAUGACAAGUGCUGGAGGAGAUACAACAUUUAAAUAAAAUACCAUUCUUGCCCUGA